GCCGGGCAUGGUGGCGCAUGCCUGUAAUCCCAGAGGCUGGGGAGGCUGAGGCAGGAGGAUUGCAAGUUCAAAACCAGCCUCAGCAAAAGCAAGGUGCUAAGCAACUCAGUGAGACCCUGUCUCUA
rnacentral:sRNA from 1 species